UAUGGGGGGGGCAAGCGUUGUUCGGAAUUACUGGGCGUAAAGGGCUUGUAGGUGGCCAACUAAGUCAGACGUGAAAUCCCUCAGCUUAACUGGGGAACUGCGUCUGAUACUGGAUGGCUUGAGUUUGGGAGAGGGAUGCGGAAUUCCAGGUGUAGCGGUGAAAUGCGUAGAUAUCUGGAGGAACACCGGUGGCGAAGGCGGCAUCCUGGACCAACACUGACACUGAGGAGCGAAAGCCAGGGGAGCAAACGGG
rnacentral:rRNA from 1 species